AACACAUGCAAGUCGAGCGGAAAGGCCCUUUCGGGGUACUCGAGCGGCGAACGGGUGAGUAACACGUGAGUAAUCUGCCCCUCACUUUGGGAUAGCCACCGGAAACGGUGAUUAAUACCGGAUAUGACGCGGCCUCGCAUGGGGUUGUGUGGAAAGUUUUUCGGUGAGGGAUGUGCUCGCGGCCUAUCAGCUUGAUGGUGAGGUAAUGGCUCACCAUGGCUUCGACGGGUAGCCGGCCUGAGAGGGUGACCGGUCACACUGGGACUGAGACACGGCCCAGACUCCUACGGGAGGCAGCAGUGGGGAAUAUUGGACAAUGGGCGGAAGCCUGAUCCAGCAACGCCGCGUGAGGGAUGACGGCCUUCGGGUUGUAAACCUCUUUCGGUGGGGACGAAGCGAAAGUGACGGUACCCACUAAAGAAGCACCGGCCAA
rnacentral:rRNA from 1 species